rnacentral:tRNA from 1 species
GCCCGGGUGGUGAAAUCGGUAGACACAAGGGAUUUAAAAUCCCUCGGCGUUCGCGCUGUGCGGGUUCAAGUCCCGCUCCGGGUACCA